rnacentral:tRNA from 1 species
AAUAUAGUGCCUGAUUUAAAAGGGUAGCUUUGAUAGAGCUAAUCAUGUAGUAACUCUACCUAUAUUA